ACAACAACAACAAAAAAUGCGACACCCAAUAAAAACAACAUGUAACGGCUCUGACAUAACAAGAACAACACGGCAGAGGCGUAGCAAGCAGAUUUUUUUGGAGUAGACACGCUUUUCAGGGGUUCGCCCCGCGGUCUGGCACAGAACAAUAAAACUACCUUAAGGUAGCGGCAGUCAGCAUCGGAUCCUCAGGAUGAAAGCAGGUCAGCGCUCAAAAAAAUACGUUUGCUCUUGACCCCGGUUGGGGGUCACCCGCAACACCAAGGCAGGCCUACAAAAACAACAAAAGGCCAGCCUCAAUAAUAAGAAAAGAGCAGGCAACAACGCUUUGAGGGGAGCUUCGGCUCCCCUCAGUGCUUCCUGCCCUCCUCCUCCUGCUGUUUCU
rnacentral:sRNA from 17 species